rnacentral:rRNA from 1 species
CGCGUAGGCGGGCGUGAAAGUCGAUUGUGAAAUCCCAAGGCUUAACCUUGGAAUUGCAGUCGAUACUCCACGUCUUGAGUGCUUGAGAGGGUGAUAGAAUUCCUGGUGUAGAGGUGAAAUUCGUAGAUAUCAGGAGGAAUACCGGAGGCGAAGGCGGUCACCUGGUAAGACACUGACGCUGAGGCGCGAAAGCGCGGGGAUCAAACAGGAUUAGAUACCCUGGUAGUCCGCGCCAUAAACUAUGGAUACUAGACGUUCGGAGAGUUAACCCUCUGAGUGUCAAAGCUAACGCAUUAAGUAUCCCGCCUGGGGAGUACGGCCGCAAGGCUAAA